rnacentral:rRNA from 1 species
CCUACGGGUGGCAGCAGUAGGGAAUAUUGCGCAAUGGGCGAAACCCUGACGCAGCAACGCCGCGUGAAGGAUGAAGGUUUUCGGAUUGUAAACUCCUUUUGUCAGGGACGAUGCUGAUGAUGGUUCACGAGUAAGCACCUGCUAACACCUUGCCAGCAGCCGCCGUGAUACGGCGGGUGCAAGCGUUGCUCGGAAUCACUGGGCGUAAAGAGCGCGUAGGAGGGGUUGCAAGUCAGAUGUGAAAACCACGGGCUUAACCAUCGACCUGCAUUUGAAACUGUUGUUCUUGAGUACGGGAGAGGUAGGUGGAAUUCCUGGUGUAGCGGUGAAAUGCGCAGAGAUUAGGAGGAACACCAGUGGCGAAGGCGAUCUGCUAGACAAUAACUGACGCUGAGGCGCGAAAGCGUGGGGAGCAAACAGGAUUAGAUACCCUUGUAGUC